rnacentral:tRNA from 1 species
GUCAAAAUGGCCGAGCGGUCUAAGGCGCCAAACUCAAGUUCUGGUCCUCUAAGAAGGCGUGGGUUCAAAUCCCAUUUCUGACA